rnacentral:rRNA from 1 species
CGGCAGCACGGGGGCAACCCUGGUGGCGAGUGGCGAACGGGUGAGUAAUACAUCGGAACGUGUCCUGUAGUGGGGGAUAGCCCGGCGAAAGCCGGAUUAAUACCGCAUACGCUCUACGGAGGAAAGGGGGGGAUCUUAGGACCUCUCGCUACAGGGGCGGCCGAUGGCAGAUUAGCUAGUUGGUGGGGUAAAGGCCUACCAAGGCGACGAUCUGUAGCUGGUCUGAGAGGACGACCAGCCACACUGGGACUGAGACACGGCCCAGACUCCUACGGGAGGCAGCAGUGGGGAAUUUUGGACAAUGGGCGCAAGCCUGAUCCAGCAAUGCCGCGUGUGUGAAGAAGGCCUUCGGGUUGUAAAGCACUUUUGUCCGGAAAGAAAACUUCUGCCCUAAUACGGCGGGAGGAUGACGGUACCGGAAGAAUAAGCACCGGCUGACUACGUGCCAGCAGCCGCGGUAAUACGUAGGGUGCAAGCGUUAAUCGGAAUUACUGGGCGUAAAGCGUGCGCAGGCGGUUCGCUAAGACAGAUGUGAAAUCCCCGGGCUUAACCUGGGAACUGCAUUUGUGACUGGCGGGCUAGAGUAUGGCAGAGGGGGGUAGAAUUCCACGUGUAGCAGUGAAAUGCGUAGAGAUGUGGAGGAAUACCGAUGGCGAAGGCAGCCCCCUGGGCCAAUACUGACGCUCAUGCACGA